CCCAGAGGUGCGGCCGUCGGCCGUCUGCCCGCUGCGGGAUUCGGGGCCGCGGCGGGCUCCAGCCCAGCGGUGCCCCGCCACCCUCCUCCCGCCGUACUCCUCUCCCCUUCCCCUGUCUCCUCGCCCCCUGAGACAGCAUCCCCGCUGGCGGUGCGGUGGCCUGCACUCCCCCGGGGAGCCCGAAGCGGCACCUGGGAGAGAGAGGAUGAUGGCACGGGGGGAUGUUGCAUUAAUAAAGCACAUUCUUCGGGGAAAUCUGAACGACAAGGGGGGUACGGCAGAGACUGUAAAGCUGUUAUGUUGAAGCGAGCACAGCUGCCCUUUUUUUUUUUUAAAUAGUAGGGCUUUUCUCAAGCACCAGAAUCUAGAUGAUGGUAAAAUUCAAUCCAGAAUCAGAUGGUCUACGACUGACAUGUCACUUCAUCCCCUCCUCAGCACAACGGCUGUAGCCUACAAGUGAGAGGCAGCAAAAGCAUGUCCUGAUGUCAGAUGUUUCUUCAUUUCUCCUCUAUCUGCUCUGGGUUUGGGGAUUUUGUCCACCAGCUGAUAAUAACCCAGGAGUUUCUAUCAGUUUGUCAGAUUCCUUGGGAUAAGAAACUACAAGAUCAAAACCACCUGAGUUAAUGGCUGUCAAAUACCUCUGUCCAGGAGACACUGAGGAUUCUAAUCCGCCAUACUGCAGCCUGAGGUGAUAAGUAUUAUACAUACAUCCCAAAUUACAGAUGCUGGAAGCCAGAAUCAUCGCCAGGCAAUACUCUUCUUCUUUUGUCUUAAGUGCAUGAAGCAAGCUACGGAAUCAUUACACUUCUUCAGACAGCUAGUUUAUGUUAUUAUUGUCUGAAUCAAUAAUAAACCCACCUGAUAAUGAAAUAGCUUCUCCAGCUGCCUGAUCACCAUUUUUGGGGGGUGAAAAAGCCCCUAAGUUUUUCAACAACCUUGAAGAGAAGAUGCAUUUCUAGUAUCAGUUCCGAGAAACUGUAAGAAUGAAUUCCAAUGUAUGUAGCCUAUUGCCGGAGAGCCAACAGACUGCCUCUCCCCUGGGAACCUGGCAUGGCAGUACCUAGGAAA